rnacentral:rRNA from 1 species
AUUGAACGCUGGCGGCAUGCCUAACACAUGCAAGUCGAACGAGUAGCGGACGGGUGAGUAAUGUCUGGGAAACUGCCUGAUGGAGGGGGAUAAAUACUGGAAACGGUAGCUAAUACCGCAUACCAUCAGAUCUGCACACAUGGGAUGAGCUUGUUGGUGGGUUAACUGCCCACCAAGGCGCCGAUCCCUAGCUGGGCUGAGAGGAUGACCACCCACACUGGAACCGAGACACGGUCCUUGCUCGUACGGGAGGCAGCCGUGGGGAAUUUUGCACACGGGGCGCAAGCCUGAUGCAGCCAUGCCGCGUGUAUGAAUAAGGCCUUCGGGUUGUAAAGUACUUUCAGCGGGGAGGCGUUACCCGCAGAAGAAGCACCGGCUAACUCCGUGCCAGCAGCCGCGGUAAUAC